rfam:Danio rerio chromosome 6, GRCz11 reference primary assembly.
UUUCGGCAGGGUUGUAAGUCGCUUUGAAUAAAAGCAUCUGCUAAAUGACUAAAU